rnacentral:lncRNA from 1 species
CAGGAGGAAGGCCCUUCGCCUUACCCAGGCCCUGCCAGUCACUUGCCCAGGAGUCUGGCUCUGGCACAGGUGCCCUGGGUCUGCAGUGCCAAAGCCCAGGGCGUGGCCCAGCCAAAUCAAAAAAAGGAGUGUUGGACUGGAGCAGGGCUCCCCCAGCCUGGCGGGGAGGAAGAUAUUCAGAGAGCUUUAAUGUCUGAGAGUCAUGUGAGUGACUCCCAUCCCACGAAAGCCCCUGUGCCUCUCUGAGUCCCAGUUCCCAGCAGGCCACGUGCAGCGGGUGGCUGGGGAGGCCCCCAGGGCCCAGAGGUUCCAGAAACACAAUGAUGCACAAGAUAUAAAACAGAGCCACAGGCCGACCUCCUCCUCACAGUGGCCUGGAAGCUCGCACUCCACAUCACAUGAACGCAGCAAACCCAGC